CUUAGAAGAAACCUUGAUGUCAUAGAAAUACUUAAAAACACUCAAUUUCCCAGGAUUUGCAGAUCUCCAUAUAGUAGAAUACCUGAGAAAAUUCUUGAUCAUGAUCGGAUCAUAUGGCUUGGGGACCUGAACUACCGGAUUUCCUUGAGCUACUCUGACACCCGGAAACUUCUAGAGGCCAAAAACUGGGAU